GAUGAACGCUGGCGGCAUGCCUAAGACAUGCAAGUCGAACGAAACGGCCCAUUGAUUUUUGAGUACUUGUACGAAAUUUGAUUUGGAUUUUCCGUUUAGUGGCAGACGGGUGAGUAACACGUAAGUAAUCUACCUCAAAGUUUGGGAUAACGUUUGGAAACGGACGCUAAUACCGGAUGAUUUAUAUUCAGAAAACUUUAUAUACUAAAAGGAGCUUUUGCUUCGCUUUGAGAUGAGCUUGCGGCGUAUUAACUAGUUGGUGAGGUAAUGGCUCACCAAGGUGACGAUGCGUAGCCGAGCUGAGAGGCUAAUCGGCCACAUUGGGACUGAGAUACGGCCCAAAACUCCUACGGGAGGCAGCAGUUAGGAAUAUUGCGCAAUGGAGGAAACUCUGACGCAGUGACGCCGCGUAUAGGAAGAAGGUUUUCGGAUUGUAAACUAUUGUCGUUAGGGAAGAUAAAAAGACAGUACCUAAGGAGGAAGCUACGGCUAACUACGUGCCAGCAG
rnacentral:rRNA from 1 species